GUGGGGAAUCUUGCGCAAUGGGCGAAAGCCUGACGCAGCCAUGCCGCGUGAAUGAUGAAGGUCUUAGGAUUGUAAAAUUCUUUCACCGGGGACGAUAAUGACGGUACCCGGAGAAGAAGCUCCGGCUAACUUCGUGCCAGCAGCCGCGGUAAUACGAAGGGGGCUAGCGUUGCUCGGAAUUACUGGGCGUAAAGGGCGCGUAGGCGGACAGCUUAGUCAGAGGUGAAAGCCCAGGGCUCAACCUUGGAAUUGCCUUUGAUACUGGCUGUCUUGAGUUUGGGAGAGGUGAGUGGAACUCCGAGUGUAGAGGUGAAAUUCGUAGAUAUCCGGAGGAACACCAGUGGCGAAGGCGGCUUCCUGGACAGUAACUGACGCUGAGACGCGAAAGCGUGGGGAGCAAACAGGAUUAGAAACCCGAGUAGUCC
rnacentral:rRNA from 1 species